rnacentral:rRNA from 1 species
CUGGCGGCGUGCUUAACACAUGCAAGUCGAACGCGAAAGGGACUUCGGUCCUGAGUAAAGUGGCGCACGGGUGAGUAACGCGUAGAUAACCUGUCUUCAUGUCUGGAAUAAUACGCCAAAGGGGUACUAAUACCGGAUAUUCUUGCUUUUCAUAAGUUAUGCAAGCAAAGGUGGCCUCUGCAUAUGCUACUGCAUGAAGAGGGGUCUGCGUACCAUUAGCUAGUAGGUGGGGUAAUGGCCUACCUAGGCGACGAUGGUUAGCGGGUCUGAGAGGAUGAUCCGCCACACUGGCACUGGAACACGGGCCAGACUCCUACGGGAGGCAGCAGUGAGGAAUAUUGCGCAAUGGGGGAAACCCUGACGCAGCGACGCCGCGUGAGUGAAGGAAGGCCUUCGGGUCGUAAAGCUCUGUCAAGAGGAAAGAAGUGUACAAUGGCUAAUACCUGUUGUAUUUGACGGUACCUCUAAAGGAAGCACCGGCUAACUCCGUGCCAGCAGCCGC